CAAAGAAGGUAAUAAUCCUGUAGUCGAAAAUGUUGUCUCUCUUGAGUGGAUCCUGAGUACGACGGAGCACGUGAAAUUCCGUCGGAAUCUGGGAGGACCAUCUCCUAAGGCUAAAUACUCUCUAGUGACCGAUAGUGAACCAGUACCGUGAGGGAAAGGUGAAAAGCACCCCGGAAGGGGAGUGAAAUAGAACCUGAAACCGUGUGCUUACAAGUAGUCAGAGCCCGUUAAUGGGUGAUGGCGUGCCUUUUGUAGAAUGAACCGGCGAGUUACGAUUUGAUGCAAGGUUAAGCAGUAAAUGUGGAGCCGUAGCGAAAGCGAGUCUGAAUAGGGCGUUUAGUAUUUGGUCGUAGACCCGAAACCAGGUGAUCUACCCUUGGUCAGGUUGAAGUUCAGGUAACACUGAAUGGAGGACCGAACCGACUUACGUUGAAAAGUGAGCGGAUGAACUGAGGGUAGCGGAGAAAUUCCAAUCGAACCUGGAGAUAGCUGGUUCUCUCCGAAAUAGCUUUAGGGCUAGCCUCAAGUGAUGAUUAUUGGAGGUAGAGCACUGUUUGGACGAGGGGCCCCUCUCGGGUUACCGAAUUCAGACAAACUCCGAAUGCCAAUUAAUUUAACUUGGGAGUCAGAACAUGGGUGAUAAGGUCCGUGUUCGAAAGGGAAACAGCCCAGACCACCAGCUAAGGUCCCAAAAUAUAUGUUAAGUGGAAAAGGAUGUGGCGUUGCCCAGACAACUAGGAUGUUGGCUUAGAAGCAGCCAUCAUUUAAAGAGUGCGUAAUAGCUCACUAGUCGAGUGACACUGCGCCGAAAAUGUACCGGGGCUAAACAUAUUACCGAAGCUGUGGAUUGUCCUUUGGACAAUGGUAGGAGAGCGUUCUAAGGGCGUUGAAGCAUGAUCGUAAGGACAUGUGGAGCGCUUAGAAG
rnacentral:rRNA from 1 species